GCGGGAGUGGCGAAAUUGGUAGACGCACCAGAUUUAGGUUCUGGCGCCGCAAGGUGUGCGAGUUCAACUCUCGCCUCCCGCACCA
rnacentral:tRNA from 1 species